rnacentral:rRNA from 1 species
UUCUGAGGGAAGAAAUUUUGACGGUACCUCAGGAAUAAGUGACGGCUAACUCCGUGCCAGCAGCCGCGGUAAUACGGAGGUCACAAGCGUUAUCCGGAAUCACUGGGCGUAAAGCGAUCGAAGGUGGCGUACUAAGUCUGUUUUUAAAUACCUACGGCUCAACCGAGGUGCUGAAAUGGAAACUGGUACACUAGAGUCAUUGAGAGGAGGGUAGAAUUCUUGUUGUAGGGGUAAAAUCCGUAGAUAACAAGAGGAAUACCAAAAGCGAAGGCAGCCCUCUGGCAAUGCACUGACACUGCACGAUCGAAAGCGUGGGGAGCGAAAGGGAUUAGAUACCCCUGUAGUCCACGCCCUAAACGAUGAGUACUCGAUGUACGGCGGUAUAGCCCGCUGUGUGUCCAAGCUAACGCAUUAAGUACUCCGCCUGGGAAGUACGGUCGCAAGACUAAAACUCAAAUGAAUUGACGGGG